UAAGGAAUAUUGGUCAAUGGACGCAAGUCUGAACCAGCCAUGCCGCGUGAAGGAUGAAGGUCCUCUGGAUUGUAAACUUCUUUUAUCUGGGACGAAAACGGGAUUUUUAUCUCAAUUGACGGUACCAGAGGAAUAAGCACCGGCUAACUCCGUGCCAGCAGCCGCGGUAAUGCGGAGGGUGCGAGCGUUAUCCGGAUUUACUGGGUUUAAAGGGUGCGUAGGUGGGCUUAUAAGUCAGUGGUGAAAUCUCCGAGCUUAACUUGGAAACUGCCGUUGAUACUGUAGGUCUUGAAUUAUCUGGAGGUAAGCGGAAUAUGUCAUGUAGCGGUGAAAUGCUUAGAUAUGACAUAGAACACCAAUUGCGAAGGCAGCUUACUACAUAUAAAUUGACGCUGAGGCACGAAAGCGUGGGGAUCAAACA
rnacentral:rRNA from 1 species